AACGCACCUUGCGCCCUUUGGCCAUUCCGAAGGGCAUGCCUGUUUGAGUAUCAUGAACACCUCAACUCUUCAUGGUUUUCCAUGAUGAGUUUGGACUUUGGGGGUUUUGCUGGCCCUACGGUCAGCUCCUCUGAAAUAAAUCAGCUUGCCAGUGUUUGGUGGGUAUCAUAGGUGUGAUAACUAUCUACGCUUGUGGUUCUUCCACCGGGUAACCUUCAGCAGUGGAGGUUCACUGGAGCUCACAGACGUCUCUCCUCAGUGAGGACAGCCCUUUGAAUGUUUGAUCUCAAAUCAGGUAGGACUACCCGCUGAACUUAA
rnacentral:misc_RNA from 1 species